rnacentral:rRNA from 1 species
UACGGGGGGGGCAAGCGUUGUUCGGAAUUACUGGGCGUAAAGGGCGCGUAGGCGGCCUGCUAAGUCGGAUGUGAAAUCCCUCGGCUCAACCGAGGAACUGCAUCCGAUACUGGCGGGCUUGAAUCCGGGAGAGGGAUGUGGAAUUCCAGGUGUAGCGGUGAAAUGCGUAGAUAUCUGGAGGAACACCGGUGGCGAAGGCGGCAUCCUGGGCCGGUAUUGACGCUGAGGCGCGAAAGCUAGGGGAGCAAACGGG